AUACGUAGGGUGCAAGCGUUAAUCGGAAUUACUGGGCGUAAAGCGCGCGUAGGCGGUUUGAUCAGUCGGAUGUGAAAGCCUUGGGCGCAACCUGGGAACUGCAUUCGAUACUGUCAGACUAGAAUAUGGUAGAGGGUAGUGGAAUUCCUGGUGUAGCGGUGAAAUGCGUAGAUAUCAGGAGGAACAUCAGUGGCGAAGGCGGCUACCUGGACCAAUAUUGACGCUGAGGUGCGAAAGCGUGGGGAGCAAACAGGAUUAGAAACCCUUGUAGUCC
rnacentral:rRNA from 1 species